UUAUUUUUGUUAUGAUAACAAGACGUUCGUUACACUGAUGUUUGUAUGUUGUUAGACCCGGAGGUCAAACGGUUCACAGAGGUGAGGGAUGAUAAGAUAGGACCUUUCGGUCAAUCAUUAAUGAUCCUUCCGCAGGUUCACCUACGGAAA
rnacentral:misc_RNA from 1 species